GGUGGUAUAGUGUAGUGGUCAUCACUCGGGAUUUUGACCUCUGUUGAUUUCAGGUCUACUUCCCGAAACCCAGGUUCGAACCCUGGUACUACCU
rfam:Moniliophthora roreri MCA 2997 sctg_0074_0001, whole genome shotgun sequence.